GAUGAACGCUGGCGGCGUGCCUAAUACAUGCAAGUCGAGCGAACAGACGAGGAGCUUGCUCCUCUGACGUUAGCGGCGGACGGGUGAGUAACACGUGGAUAACCUACCUAUAAGACUGGGAUAACUUCGGGAAACCAGAGCUAAUACCGGAUAAUAUAUUGAACCGCAUGGUUCAAUAGUGGAAGACGGUUUUGCUGUCACUUAUAGAUGGAUCCGCGCCGCAUUAGCUAGUUGGUAAGGUAACGGCUUACCAAGGCAACGAUGCGUAGCCGACCUGAGAGGGUGAUCGGCCACACUGGAACUGAGACACGGUCCAGACUCCUACGGGAGGCAGCAGUAGGGAAUCUUCCGCAAUGGGCGAAAGCCUGACGGAGCAACGCCGCGUGAGUGAUGAAGGUCUUCGGAUCGUAAAACUCUGUUAUUAGGGAAGAACAAAUGUGUAAGUAACUAUGCACGUCUUGACGGUACCUAAUCAGAAAGCCACGGCUAACUACGUG
rnacentral:rRNA from 1 species